UACGGAGGGUGCGAGCGUUGUCCGGAAUCACUGGGCGUAAAGGGCGCGUAGGCGGCUUUGUAAGUCGGGGGUGAAAGCCUGUGGCUCAACCACAGAAUUGCCUUCGAUACUGCAUGGCUUGAGACCGGAAGAGGUAAGUGGAACUGCGAGUGUAGAGGUGAAAUUCGUAGAUAUUCGCAAGAACACCAGUGGCGAAGGCGGCUUACUGGUCCGGUUCUGACGCUGAGGCGCGAAAGCGUGGGGAGCAAACAGG
rnacentral:rRNA from 1 species